CCUUGAGAGUCCUGAAGGAACGUUGAAGACGACGACGUUGAUAGGCCGGAUGUGUAAGCGCAGCGAUGCGUUGAGCUAACCGGUACUAAUGAACCGUGAGGCUUAACCUUACAACGCCGAAGGUGUUU
rnacentral:rRNA from 1 species